GUCCUUGUCGAUUAGUGGUUAGAUCAUCACGUUGUGGUAUCACGUGACCAUGAGAUGGCAAUUCCGUGAAGGCGGAGGCUUGAAUCCUCCCUGGGACA